CAGAGACACAGACCUCAGGAAUGCACCAUGAGAAAAAUCAAAUACAAAUUUUCACACUGGUUAAGGAGUUCCAAGCUUCUGGAGCCACCACCAGACUAGGUGUCUACAUCACAGCCAGAGUGGGCGCUGUCGUGGCCCUCAAGUUUAU
rnacentral:lncRNA from 1 species